rnacentral:rRNA from 1 species
AACGAACGCUGGCGGCAGGCUUAACACAUGCAAGUCGAACGAUGUAGCAAUACAUAGUGGCGCACGGGUGAGUAACGCGUGGGAAUAUGCCCUUUAGUUUGGAAUAACAGUUGGAAACGACUGCUAAUACCAAAUACGCCCUUCGGGGGAAAGAUUUAUCGCUAAAGGAUUAGCCCGCGUGAGAUUAGGUAGUUGGUGGGGUAAUGGCCUACCAAGUCUACGAUCUCUAGCUGGUCUGAGAGGAUGAUCAGCCACACUGGAACUGAGACACGGUACAGACUCCUACGGGAGGCAGCAGUGGGGAAUAUUGGACAAUGGGCGAAAGCCUGAUCCAGCCAUGCCGCGUGAGUGAUGAAGGCCUUAGGGUUGUAAAGCUCUUUUGUCAGGGAAGAUAAUGACGGUACCUGAAGAAUAAGCACCGGCUAACUUCGUGCCAGCAGCCGCUGUAAAAC